rnacentral:lncRNA from 1 species
CGAAGCUGUUAUUUUGAACCUGUGACUUAUGGAAUUCAUCUGCUACAUCGGCCAAUUUGAAGAAGAUUAUGGAGUGGCUAAAGCUUGGAUGUGGCUAUCUUUAUUUGAUUCCUUUCUCUUCAAGUUAAUAUAAUUGUGCAUGUUGUUGUUUGAUUCUAAAAAGUCAAAGGGAAUUAUGGGUUUCUAUUGACAUUCUUGUCUAUUGGAUUGCUACCCACUUGGUC